CUUUUUCUUAUACCUCACAGCUAAACCUCAAUCAUCCUUUACCUCUACUUAUCUCAACCACUGAGGAGAUCAAAAGAAGUGUUAGAAAAUGAGAACCAUUGUCAUUGUUGUUUUAACUAUGCUGGUGAUGAUGAGUACUUGCAUGGCUACAAGUAGGAGUUUGAAUUAUUACGAGGAGCACCCUGCAGCUGCAGGAGGAGGAACAAGAAAUAUUGGUAAUCAUCAUCAUAUGGGUAGGGAGGAGUUCAAUAACAAUAAUGGUGGAGUUGGAGGUGCUACUCCUAAAGCUGAUGAUAAUACAGAUGAUGGAAAGUUCUAAACUACAACCCUAGCUACUAUUAAAAUGCUCUUGAAAUUAAUGGUAUAACAUAUCAAGUGUGAUAUAUGAAUAUUGUUAUUACAUAUAAUAUUUCUCCUGUCUACGUAGGGUGCAACUCUUGCUAAUGCGGAAUAUAUGCUUUGUGGCCUAUCGCCUAUCAGUAAAUUAAAUUAAAUGGGAAUAAACUGUGGUCAGAGGUACAUCUCCAUGUAAUUUAACCUCAUGUAAAUAUGCAUGCAUGGUUGUAAUAGUGUGUGUAUAGAUCAAUCAAUAUGAUCUUGCUUUGGGUAUUGUAAUUGACUGAAGUUAUUUUUUAA